rnacentral:rRNA from 1 species
GAUGAACGCUAGCGGCAGGCCUAAUACAUGCAAGUCGAGGGGCAGCGGGAGUAGCAAUACUUGCCGGCGACCGGCGCACGGGUGCGUAACACGUAUACAAUCUGCCUAUAUCAGGGAGAUAGCCCGGAGAAAUUCGGAUUAAUAUCCCAUAACAUAGUUGAAUGGCAUCAUUUAAUUAUUAAAGUUCCGACGGAUAUAGAUGAGUAUGCGUCCUAUUAGCUAGUUGGUAGUGUAACGGACUACCAAGGCGACGAUAGGUAGGGGUACUGAGAGGUUAAACCCCCACACUGGUACUGAGACACGGACCAGACUCCUACGGGAGACAGCAGUAAGGAAUAUUGGACAAUGGUGGCAACACUGAUCCAGCCAUGCCGCGUGCAGGAUGAAGGACCUAUGGUUUGUAAACUGCUUUUGUGCGAGAGAAAACCCUCCUACGUGUAGGAGGCUGAUAGUAUCGCAAGAAUAAGCAUCGGCUAACUUCGUG